rnacentral:pre_miRNA from 1 species
AAAAAGGUAAACCCUGGGUUUCUGUGUCCAACUUUAACUGUCCGUCUUAUAUGAAAUUUUUUUAUAAUUCGUAUUUUCAUUGUUGUUAGAUGAUAAAACAUGAUUAAUAUUUUAUGUGUGACUUGUCUUUUUAAUUUUUUUUAUAAUUUUUUCAAAUAAGACGGACGGUCAAAUGUUAAACUCAGAAACC